rnacentral:rRNA from 1 species
GACGAACGCUGGCGGCGUGCUUAACACAUGCAAGUCGAACGGAAAGGCCCUGCUUUUGUGGGGUGCUCGAGUGGCGAACGGGUGAGUAACACGUGAGUAACCUGCCCUUGACUUUGGGAUAACUUCAGGAAACUGGGGCUAAUACCGGAUAGGAGCUCCUGCUGCAUGGUGGGGGUUGGAAAGUUUCGGCGGUUGGGGAUGGACUCGCGGCUUAUCAGCUUGUUGGUGGGGUAGUGGCUUACCAAGGCUUUGACGGGUAGCCGGCCUGAGAGGGUGACCGGGCACAGGGCGUGUGAGACAGGGCGCAGAGUGCGGGGGAGGGAAUAGGGGAGGAAGGUGAGAAGGUGGGCGGGAGGGGGAGGCGGGCACGGCGGGGGCGGGAAGGCGUUGUGCGGGUGGUCAACCGUGUCGGCGGGUGAGGAAGGGGGAGGGACGGUGAUGGGAAAAGAAGCACGGGAGAACUACGCACCAGAAGCACAAAGACUGGGAAGAGCAAACGUCGGAAC